AAAAGAGUGAACGAGAGGCUCUUCCAACUUUAUGGUUGCGACCGUAGGUUGAAAGAGCACAGGCUGAGACAUUCGUAAGGCCGAAAGACCGGACGCACCCUGGGAUUUCCCCAGUCCCCGGAACUGCAUAGCGGAUGCCAGUUGAUGGAGCAAUCUAUCAGAUAAGCCAGGGGGAACAAUCACCUCUCUGUAUCAGAGAGAGUUUUACAAAAGGAGGAACGG
rnacentral:misc_RNA from 1 species